rnacentral:lncRNA from 1 species
UGAUUGAAAUUCCAUUCAAUAAAGUUCAUCCAAACCCCAACCCAUCAAACCUUAAUUGAUUCUUCCUUGACCUAGGCUCUUCUAUGAAUAUUAAAUGACCUUGCAAGAUUUUAUUGACCUUGUACAUUGAAGAAGAGUCCGUUCUUAUUUUCCACAGGUACUCUUCUCUCUCAACACGAUCUUACAAAUUCCUUCUUGCUCUGCUCCCGAUGAGAAUUCACAGCGUUGAAUGGGAGUGCGAUUCCAACGCCCCUCCUCCACCUCACACGACCCUGCUCUUCAGCUACAGUUCCUGUAGCGGAUUUCUACCGAUUUAAGCACGAACAGCCUACGAAGAACAAAUCAAUUUUCUUGAAUGCUCGUCCAAUCACAAUUUUAUUUUCUCAAGCUGAUUCGUAUCUCUAGUGAGGAGGUGCCUAACUCUGCAAUUUCGAUGACGGCUUUGUGGUAGUAUUUGUUGUUGAAUCAAACAAGCUCGAAGUUUUACAUGGAAAAAACCAUCUGAGUUCUGAGCGCCAAAUUUCAUGAACAAGAACGCUCCAUUAUCCCUCUGCAACGCUGCCAAGGGAACACCCAGAUCCGCCUAAUACGGAGUCCUUCCGCAGCAACAACGUUACUAAACAAGAAGACUGAUUCCACAGUCACCACACCUCUACUUCGUAAGUACCAACUUCGACAGCAAUAAGAAGACCACAGCAAAGAGAACCAAAACCAAGAAACCAAGAAUGAUGUCGAGCCUAAGGAAAAUACCACAACACCAGUGGUCAACCGCCACCUUCGAAACCAGCACCUCGCACGAGGAAUGGAACAAAAAACCAAUGAAAGAAAAGGGCAAAAAUUGGCUUGCGGUGAAUUACAGGGCGGAGUAGUCAAAAUAUAUCAACAAUGAAACAACGGAGGACUUUCGCAAUCCAAAAUUACAAGGCUCGAAGCCCUCCUCGUCAAUAACAAAUGUUGUUUCUACUGUAAGGUUAACCUACUAUGCGCCCUGAGCUAAUUCACACUAACCACAGAAAAAGAAGAAUGCCGCCCUGCAGCACCGCAAUGGAAUGAAGAACACGCCGCAGCCACGCACUGCACCGCAAGAGUCCACCAACUUGAACCUUGAGGAUGAAAACCUGCCAACGAAAGGGAUAAUGAUAGGAAAAAUGGAUCACGCCACUUGUAGAACCACCGGAGCAAGUGCGAGAUCGUAAGCCUGCGACACCACCGCAGCAACACAACUAUACACACGUCGGAGACGCUGUUCCAAAUUCAACAAUACCAAGGAAGCACAACUGCUGCAAUGCAAGGGAUUUUGUAGCACCCUACGACCCUGACCAAGGGUAGAAAUAAAAGGAACCAGCGCACUUUGAACAGAACCUGUCGCACAGCAGUCAACCGACACCUCAACCACAACAACCCCACAGCAGCACACGUACGUCGCAGGAACAAAGAAAUCCAAGAAUUUUAAAAAAUACGUCUCGAUACGAGCCGGCCUCC